rnacentral:lncRNA from 1 species
UUUCGUUUUGUUGUUAAAAAUUUAAGUUUUUGAGUUAACUUAUUACUUUUUCUAACUCGAACUUGUAAUGCCGAGGGUCAGGCAUAAUUUUGAUAAGUAUGCACCCAUCAGGGCCGUCACCUUACUGGAGCAGUGCCAGGCACAGCGGAGCGUUGCAAACAGGCUCCAUGUGUCUCAAAAGGUAAUCUUUAACCUGUGGAAGCGGUACCAAGAAACUGAAACAACUGCCAGGAGACCAGGAUCAGGCAGAAAAUGGAAGACAACCUCAAGGGAGGACCGCUGUAUCGUCAGAAAGGCAACCCGGGGACGAUUUUUGUCUGGACCUGCCAUACAAAAUGACCUGGAGCAGUACAACAGCACGGUUGUGACUGCGCAAACGGUGCGCAACAGAUUGAAGGAAGUGGGAGUUCGGUUGAGGAGGCGUUUAAGAAAACCAAAACUCACACAGGCCCAGCGUGCAGUGAGGUUAAGAUUCGCCCGCAACCAUGCUGAUUGGACCAAUGAAGAGUGGGGCUGUGUUCUCUUCAGUGAUGAAUGUAAAAUAAAAUAUGAGAGUGAUGACAGACGUGUAAAAGUGUGGAGGCGUAGGGGGGAGCGUUUCCAGGAGGACUGUAUCCACCAGGUCAAUUUACAGGGCGGUCCCGGUGUGAUGGUCUGGGGCGGUAUUAGCCUGCGCGGAAAAACCGACUUGGUGUUCCUCACAGGCGGUUCGGUCACGUCCGAAAGCUAUGUAAAUAACGUCAUUACACCCCAUGUCAUCGCUUUUGCUCAACAAAAGGCCAAAAUUGCCUUUUCAUGCAGGCUAAUGCCCGCCCACACACCGCCAGGAACAAAAUGGAAGCACUCCGGGAAGCAAAUAUCAAACUCUUGGAAUGGCCUGCCACCCGCCCGGAGUUCAAUCCGAUUGAACAUCUGUGGGAUAGAGGUCCGAGGCACCAGAGAUCAGAUCCGGACUCAGGGGCAUCUCAUAGAGGCUCUCAAAUCCGCGAUGGACCGGAUACCAGAAAGCCGCAUCCGCGCGCUCAUUGAGAGCAUGCCGAGGAGACUGCAAGAGGCCCAAACAUGUAAGGGUGGUCACACACGCUACUAGGAAGUCAGGAUGCCUGACUCCAAC